rnacentral:rRNA from 1 species
UACGGAGGGUGCAAGCGUUAAUCGGAAUUACUGGGCGUAAAGCGUGCGCAGGCGGUUUGUUAAGUCUGCUGUGAAAUCCCCGAGCUCAACUUGGGAAUUGCAGUGGAUACUGGCAAGCUAGAGUAUGGUAGAGGAAGGUGGAAUUCCCGGUGUAGCAGUGAAAUGCGUAGAGAUCGGGAGGAACAUCAGUGGCGAAGGCGGCCAUCUGGGACAACACUGACGCUGAAGCACGAAAGCGUGGGGAGCAAACAGG